UACGUAGGGGGCAAGCGUUGUCCGGAUUUAUUGGGCGUAAAGAGCGUGUAGGCGGUCUGGUAGGUCCGUUGUGAAAACUCGAGGCUCAACCUCGAGACGCCGAUGGAAACCCUCAGACUAGAGUCCGGAAGAGGAGAGUGGAAUUCCUGGUGUAGCGGUGAAAUGCGCAGAUAUCAGGAAGAACACCCGUGGCUAAGGCGGCUCUCUAGUACGGUACUGACGCUGAGACCCGAAAGCGUGGGGAGCGAACAGG
rnacentral:rRNA from 1 species